rnacentral:lncRNA from 1 species
CCUCCUUGCCUUUGGGAAGAAAGAAGAGGGUGUGAUCAGUGGCAUUUUCGAAUACUGAUGGUCUUACUCAUUGAUAAGCAACAUUUUUAGUCAACAUUCAAGGUAAAGGUACUUGGUCUUUGAAUUGUAAUGGAAUAAUGAAUGACAACUCCUUAUAAAAGGCUUUGCAAAUGGAUGGGGCAGUAACAACGUGGGACACAAUGAAAUCACGGACGUGUGACUCCAACCCUGAGCUUACCCUUGGUGGGCCUGGGGGCCUUUGGGGGAUCAGAGGUCCCGUCCCUUUUCUUCAGGUACUCUGUGUCUUUGCAGGGAUAUGUCCAGAUGGGGUCUGCUCCAGCUCCUCGAGGCCCAUUCUGGGGCUGCGGAGGUGACCCAAGCAUGCUGAGUUCAUGCCACUCCACAGCCUUCUCCUGCAAACCUUUCCCCACCUUUCUGCCAGAUCACAGAAAUAUAGUUCAUCAGCAAAGAGGUAUUGAAUGCCCCUGUGUGCCAGCCUCAGCUCCAUGUGCAGAGGAUACAGAAGCAAGGUAAUUGUCUGCUUUUAUGGGCUCAUAUUCUAGAAGGGGACUCAGAAGACAAAAUAAGAUGCACUAUGUGUCUGGUGGCAAAACAUGCCUCAGAGAAGAGUAAGAGGAUGUAGGGAGCUGAUGGAGAAGAUUAUUUCAUACAGGCUGGCAGGGAAGGCCUGCGGGGCAUACCUGAAGGAAGUGAGGCAGGACCCUAUGGCUAUCUGGGAAUAGACUCUUUCAACAGAAGGAACUCCUGGCCUAUUAAAAAAAAGAAGAAAGAGAGAGAGAGAGAGGGAGAGAGAGAAAGAAAAAGGAGACAAAAGGCAAGAGGCAAGGCAAGAGGGUGAACUUGGAGUGGUAGAAGGGGCAGCCAGAUCCUACAGGGCCCUGCAGGCUGUGAUAAGGACGUUAGAUUUUCCCCUGAAUCAGAUGCGAACCAUUAGUGGGUUUUGAGAGGCUGGACAUGAUCUGACAUGUUUGAGAAGGAGUACUGAGGCUGCUGUGCAGACAGAUGACUGUAAAGAGGCAGAGGAGGAAGCAGGAAGACCAGUAAGGAUACUAUUGCAUCGGCCCAGAUGAGAGAUGAUGGAAGUUUAGACCAUGAUGGUAACAGGAGGCAAGAUAAGUAGUGGUCAGAUUAUGGAUAU